UACGGGGGGGGCAAGCGUUGUUCGGAAUUACUGGGCGUAAAGGGCUCGUAGGCGGCCAACUAAGUCGGAUGUGAAAUCCCUAGGCUUAACCUGGGAACUGCAUCCGAUACUGGAUGGCUUGAAUCCGGGAGAGGGAUGCAGAAUUCCAGGUGUAGCGGUGAAAUGCGUAGAUAUCAGGAGGAACACCGGCGGUGUAGACGGCUUGCUAGACCAUAACUGACGCUGAGGCACGAAAGCGUGGGUAGCAAACAGG
rnacentral:rRNA from 1 species